GCUGGGCGUGGUGGCUCACGUCUGUAAUCCCAGCACUUUGGGAGGCCGAGACAGGUGGAUCACUUGAGGCCAGGAGUUUGAGACCAGCCUGGCCAAUAUGGUGAAACCCUGUCUCUA
rnacentral:SRP_RNA from 2 species